ACUCUUUAGUGCAGUAGGCAGCGCAUCAGUCUUGAAAGCUGAAGGCCCCUAGUUCGAUCCUGGGAAAGAGGG
rnacentral:tRNA from 1 species